AUGAAUGGCGUGUGCAGUUACUACAGCAGAAGAGAAGGCCCCGUUUGCUUUAGGAACUGCUUUUGCACCCUAGAGUUAAGUUUGGAGGGACUUCAGAAAACAGUCCAGGCGACUAUUUUGGGCGUCCGUGUCAAAGAGGAGGGGUCAUGGCCUAAAGCAUUCGGAGGUCGAGUUGCUUGCUCAGUCACUGGACCUGACGCCAGUCCUCAGGAAAUUGAGCUGCUUGAUUCUCGUUAUACAGCCAUGCCGAUGACUUCUCAGGGUUACCUUGUUCUAUCAAGGAAUGUUGUCUCUGUAGACUAUCAUGGAAGCCUGAAUUUUGUCUUGGAAGCCUACUCAGAUUCCGGUAAUAAAGUUGCACAAAAAAAUGAGACCUUCGAGCCCAAGUUUUCCAACAUAAGCCAGCAAACAUGUAUACUCACUGGAGGCAUUGAGUUGGAGAUUACUGUUGCAUGGUCCAGUCUGGUUUCUGAGAAGUGGGACAUCUCGGUACAAGGAUGUGUAGUAUUAUAA
rnacentral:rRNA from 1 species